rnacentral:lncRNA from 1 species
GUGGCAUGGGGACACGUUGCACGGGGACGGUGACAUGGGGACAGGGACAAUGACAUGGGGACAGUGACACAGGGACACGUUGCAUGGGGACACUGCCAUGGGGACAGUGGCGCGGGGAUCCUGGAACGGGGACACUUUGCAUGGGGACGCUUUGCACAGGGACAGUGGCACGGGGACAAUGGCAUGGGGACACUUGGCACAGGGAUGCUUUGCAUGGGGACACUUUGUCCCCAUGUCCCCAUCCUGUCCCUGUGUCCCUUGUCCCUGCAUCCCAAUGUUCUCAUGCCCCUCAUCCCUGUGUCCCCACAUCUCCAUGUCCCUCGUCCCCAUGUCCCUUGUGUCCAUUUCCCUCAUCCCAAUGUCCCCACACCUCUUGUCCCCAUGUUCUCAUGUCCUAUGUCCCCAUGUCCCUGUGUCCCCACAUCCCUUGUGUCCAUGCCCGUCAUCCCAAUGCCCCCAUGUCUCUGUGUCCCCAUGUCCCCACAUCUCCUGUCCCCCUGUCCCUUGUGUCCAUGCCCCUCAUCCCAAUGCCCUCGUGUCCCUGUGUCCCCAUGUCCCAAUGUCCCCAUGUCCCUUGUCCCCAUAUCCCAGUGUUCUCUUGCCCCUCAUCCCAAUGUCCCCAUAUCCCAAUGUUCUCACGUCCCUCAUCCCCAUGUCCCCAUGUCCCCAUGCCCCCCUGCCCUCCCCGCGCCCCCCACCCCCCCGCGCCCCCCUCCCGCGGUGCGGGGUCCGAGCGUCCGCUGCCGUCCCCGCAGACCUGGGGCUGU